ACCGCAUGUGGUAUGCAGAGUUUCCUACACUUUUAGCUGAGUUGCAGUUAGCUCUGUUCCUGGUUGGUCGACUUGAAGAACUGGAAUUGGAGAAGAACUUUAUGAACAGAAAACCAAUGCGACCCAAAGUGUCAAGCCAUGAAUCUUACUCGGAGCAGCACUGACAAGGAUGAGGUCACAAAGGCGUGCCUCUGGAAGGAUGAUUCAUGAGUUGAGAUGCAGAGAAAAACAAAAACUAACCUGGUAAUUUUGGAUGCUUGUUCCUGGAUAUGUUAGUGAAGUUGAUAGCUCAAGCCCUUUGAGUUCCAGGUCUUAGUACGUUCUACUGUAUGUUCCCUGUUCAGGAUGAAAUGUAUGUUGCACUUUAUUUGCCCUGAGUUGCAGUCCUGUUAACAUGAGGAUGCCAAAUGGCAUGAUGUUGAUAAUAACUUGGAUGCUGAGUGAUCCUCCAAGUACAAGAAACUUCUUGGUUCGGCACUAGUUCAAAGGGUGGUGGUAGUUCAUAUCUUUGCAAAUCCUUGUUGCUGUUGUCAGGAUUGGUUUUGUUUAGCUUUCUGAAUUUUCAAUCAUUGACAAUCUUUAGCUAUUAUUUGCAAGAAAUGCCAUGUUACCAUGUC